UCUGGCUGAAGGAAGAGAAUACAAAACCAUAAUUCAGCUGAAAUUUCAGUGCAGAGAUCCAACUACAGUUAAAUCUGUCUCGGGUCAUUUAAUUUAAAAGUUAUUCUUGGUUUGGAUUAACUUGACCCAAUACUAUAACAUCAUGUUUUGGUCGUUAAGACUUAUUCCAUCAAUUCUUUUCUAGAACCUCAAGUUUAAUAAAUUACAUGCCAGUCAUUCAGUUUUCAGGAGUUACAAAAAGUUUUAAUUGGCAAAAAAAAAAGACUAUUCAGCAAUUUCUGGCACAUGGAAACAUCACAAGUUAACUGUCCUGCUUUUAUUAGAUCAAGGAUAGAUAAUUAAGAUUUUUUUUCCCCAAAAAAAGAAUGUGAAAUAGUGUUUUAUUAAAUAUUUUCCAGAUUACAUCAAACUACAGUUUUCUUAGAUCAUCUAAGAACAGAAAAAAAGAAAAAAAGGCCAAAAAACCCACAAGCACCUGCCCCUAGCAGCAAAAAAAACAGACGAACAACAACAACAAAAAAGGCAACUUUAUCACAUAUAGUUACUUAAUACAAGCAUUUUUUUCUUUUUAAAGUAAUGCCAUUAGCCUUCUCCAUUGUAAAUCACCUAUCAAAAAUUGGCAGUUUCAAUAGAAUGCAUGCAGUCCUUGCUACCCCACAGCGGAGAUAUUCCCAGGUGGGCCUGGGAACACGAGGCCCUCCACAGCUGGGUGGGUGAGAUGGCUCUUGAACCCAGGAGCAAUGAGAGGAAGGCUUUACUGUUGCUUCAGUGGCUUGCUGAGUAUUGCCUUGUGUUCUCUGACUCUCUUGCAGUAACAAAGGUAAAGUUUGCUGUCUCUUUUUUGAUGGGACAGGAGCUUCCAUCUGCUUAUUACAUGUGCAGUGAAGAAGAGCAUGGUAAGCAGGUGCUUACUUACUGAUCCCUCAAGCACCUGGGGAAAAUAGAGUAGACAGAAAUUCCUUCGUAGGGACUAUGUAUUUCUUACUGAGAAAACCCCUAGGAGAAAUCCCCCAUUCUUUUAUUUUUUUAAGGCUCUUGAGGACGUGGUCAUGUUUAUAUUGCUGUUGUAUGCAUCAGAAUGUUCUGGUAAAUUAUGUUGUAUGACUCUAUGCUCCCCACCGUCCCCCUCAGCCAGUCUGCUUCAUGUGUAGCCUUGCUCAGGUAGACAGUGAGCACAGUACAGAUAAAAAUACAAGUCUCUUGAAGACAGAUAAGAACUACAAAUCUGUCUGAAGCUGGGUGCUGAAAGAACUGAUGGCAGGCUGAUGGCAGACACCUGGUUCAACAGCUGAGGUCCAUUAGAGCAGCUGCUACUACCAGUAUGAAUCAACCAUUUUACCUCAUAAAUAGUGAGCAGGCCCAGGGGGUCCUGGGACCUUAUGCAGGACAGGCUGCUGUGUGAUGGGAGCUCCUCUUAAGUAAAGAUGGCUCUUGAAGUUAUGCCUGCUUUGGUGCUGUGUGAUGCCUUGCUGAUACAAACCUUUGGACUUGCUCAAACAGCACAAUGUCCUUUUCACGUUGGAGAUCCCAGUUCUGGACACAAUACUCCUGGUGGGGACUCAUGAGAGCAGAGUAGAGGGGUCGAAUAACCACCCUUGACCUUUUGAUCGUAAAAUCAUAGAAACAAUGAAGUUGGAAAAGAUCAUCAAGUCCAACUGUCAACCCAUCACUACCAAGCUCAUUAAGCUCUGCCCCCAAGUGCCUCAUAUGCACAUUUCAUGAACAACUCUGGAGACAAUGGCUCCAGCACACCUCCCUGGGCAGCUUGUUCCAAUGCCUCACCACUCUUUCUGAGAAGAAAGUUUUCCUAAUAUUCAACUUGAACCUUACCCAUGAACAAAAGCUGUAAGCACUGGCAGAAGUUUCUUGCUGAAAUUGUAAAUGCCUAUGGGGCAUUUGGGUUGCUUUUGUGGUUAGGAAAAAACUGAGACAGUGGAGAACAGUAGUUUCAGUUUUGAGAGUGAAUUUUUCUUUUUCUUGCUCUGUCCCUGAGUCCCUAACCCCAUUGUAUGCUACAUCCAUCUGUGAAAAAUUCAACUAUUUAAUGAAUAGCAGUUACACUGUAAGAAAUGAAUUGAAAAAUCUAAAUUGCUCACAGAAGAUUUUUGAAGCCUUACUAAGUUUGAGGUUAACAUCCAUUUCUGAUCAGGUGUGUUAUUAAGUAUCUUUAUUGAGUACUGAUAAGGUGCAAAAAAGUACCUUUAUAAUGACUGUGCUUUGACCUAUGAAUGUGGUUAACAGAGAGGGAUUUUUCACUUUCUGUUAGGAUGAUGAUGCAUGCCAACUGAAUGAUCUGUAUUGUGAGCUGUGUGGGAGUAAUGCUUUAAAUUUAAUGAGGAAUUGUGCGUUUUAAAAAAAAGAAGUGUUCAGGCUCUUUUAUAGUGGUUCAAGCUGAAACAAUGCUCUUGUGCUCCUGGUAGUUUUUCUGUUGUUCUUCAGUGAAAAAGCUGAUGACCAGGUUUUGCAUUUUUUGCCUUGGUCCUGUAGGAGUAUGCUUCCUGCUCCUGAUGAAGUGAACAGGGUAGAAGUUUGCCUGCUUUACAUAAAAUAGUUUUUAAGUCAAUGUAAUUUAUCAGCUGAUUCUUAAGGAAAGACAUCUUUUUUUCAAGCAGAUCCAAUUUCAGAUUUUCAUUUUGUAUAAGAACUUCUAAGUUGUUCACUUGUACGAUAAUUUAGUUUGAGACUUAAGUGAUGCUGUUGUAAGCAUCUGUAAGUAAAAGGUAUAUUGUACGUAUAAACAAAGUCACGUAUAGAAAGAGGGGUCUACAUUUGGAAUCUAUCACUUUAAGUAUAAGUUAAAGAUGAGUAUGAGGAAGUAAUUUUCUUAGUUUAUAGGAUUUUGUUUUCCUUUCCUAUGAAAACUUAAUUUCAAACCAGAUUUGUUUCUAGGCUGUUUGUACCUAUCCAUUCAUGUAAAUUGUAAAAGGUCUGA